UUCCAAAGCGUUAAAGCUUAUUUCUAGAUCAUUUUAAUCCCAACAUCAACUCUUAACCCAUUAUUUCUACUAAGUAAUUUUAUACUUUUAUAAAAGCUAUUAUGCUAGAACUAGUAACAAGAAAUGGUACUUCUCCAAAAUGGUAGUUAAAGCCACCAUGGACAACCCACUGGCAAUUAACGUAACUGAUUUAUAUAUAAUAACCUCGCUAGAAAACCUUAUAAGUUUUAACGUUAAUCUUACACAAGCCCAUUUCCGGAAAGAUUAAAAGAAAAAGAAGGAACUCGGCAAUUCAUGACCUCGCCUGUUUACCAAAAACACCGCCUCUUGACAAGAUAUAAGAGGUCCCGCCUGCCCAGUGACAAGAUUAAACGGCCGCGGUACUCUAACCGUGCAAAGGUAGCACAAUCACUUGUCCUCUAAAUAAGGACUAGAAUCAACGGCAUCACGAGGGUCUUACUGUCUCCUUUUUCCAAUCAGUGAAACUGAUCUUCCCGUGAAGAAGCGGGAAUAACUUUAUAAGACGAGAAGACCCCAUGGAGCUUCAAACUCAUCAGUUACCCUAUGCAAAUUACACGACAAUUUAGGGGGUUAUCUGCCAGUUUUGGGUUGGGGUGACCACGGAGAAUAGCAUAACCUCCGCAAUGAAAAAGAAUAACAUCUUUAUCUGAGAACCACACCUCUAAGAAUUAAAAAAUUAACAUAUAAUGUUCCGAUACUUUGUAUUCGAUCAAUGAACCAAGUUACCCUGGGGAUAACAGCGCCAUCCACUUUGAGAGUUCAUAUCGACAAGUGGGUUUACGACCUCGAUGUUGGAUCCGGGUUUCCACGUGGUGCCGCC
rnacentral:rRNA from 1 species